UCACCGUUUUCUGAGGAAACCCUGGAAAGAUACAGUCAAUUUAAGCCGCUUUGCUAACAUCCAUCAUUGAAUAUCAAGGAAGAAAGACGGCCCCAUCUGAAAGAACUCACCUUGGAGAGGGAGGGAAUCCACAUUCAAACGACCCGCUUUUUCGUUUCGGAAACAUAAGAACUGGACAGCCUUGCUCAGUUUGGAGAAGACCAAAGAGUCUGAGACUGAAAGGCGGCGGCGGCGGUGGAUGAUUCUGCGUGUUUCAACUUUCAACAACCAGCUGAUAAAAAGAACACAAAGGAAAAAACAAGGAACGGUACGGUUCUUCCUUGAGGGUUUUCCGAAGGGUUUUCAGCUAAUGCGGAUAAUUUUUUUUUAUGACAGCCAAACAACACAGUGUUGAAAAGCUUCAAAACUUUGUGUUCUCAAAUUGUAACCCGCGGAAAAGGGAAGAAGAAAAAUAGCCAGAGACAGGUCAGGUGAAGGAGUAGCCUUCUUUCUUGCUUGCCUUUCGGCUUUCCCCCUUCUCGCGAAAACGUCUUGCGUUUCGGUGGCGUUUCGGUGGCGUUUCAGGCUCGUUUUGGAUUUGUAUGUUAUCGAUGGAUCAGUAAUAGCCA
rnacentral:lncRNA from 1 species